UGCCCCUGACUCUGGGAUAAGCGCUGGAAACGGCGUCUAAUACUGGAUACGAGCUGCGAUCGCAUGGUCAGCAGUUGGAAAGAAUUUCGGUCAGGGAUGAGCUCGCGGCCUAUCAGCUUGUUGGUGAGGUAAUGGCUCACCAAGGCGUCGACGGGUAGCCGGCCUGAGAGGGUGACCGGCCACACUGGGACUGAGACACGGCCCAGACUCCUACGGGAGGCAGCAGUGGGGAAUAUUGCACAAUGGGCGCAAGCCUGAUGCAGCAACGCCGCGUGAGGGACGACGGCCUUCGGGUUGUAAACCUCUUUUAGCAGGGAAGAAGCGGAAGUGACGGUACCUGCAGAAAAAGCACCGGCUAACUACGUGCCAGCA
rnacentral:rRNA from 1 species